CUUGAGCGAGCCGAGCCACAGCGGUUCGCCGGUACGGUCCCGCCCGUACGUGUCGAUCAGCGCCCGGGCCUC
rnacentral:antisense_RNA from 1 species